GAUGAACGCUAGCGGCAGGCUUAAUACAUGCAAGUCGAGGGGUAACAGGGGAGCUUGCUUCUGCUGACGACCGGCGCACGGGUGCGUAACGCGUAUGUAACCUACCUUGUACAGGAGGAUAGCCCGAAGAAAUUCGGAUUAAUACUCCAUAGUAUUAUCUUAUCGCAUGAUUUAAUAAUUAAAGAUUUUAUCGGUAUAAGAUGGGCAUGCGUUAGAUUAGCUAGUUGGUAAGGUAACGGCUUACCAAGGCUACGAUCUAUAGGGGUUCUGAGAGGAAGAUCCCCCACACUGGCACUGAGAUACGGGCCAG
rnacentral:rRNA from 1 species